rnacentral:lncRNA from 1 species
UUAUAUUAUUAUCUAGUAAUUGUUUUGUCAUAUAUCCUAUCCAUAAUUGUAUUAUUUUUUCUGUAUCUAUUACACAGUCUAGGUCUAAAAAGUUAUAAUUUUUAUUAAUUAUUUGUUUUGGUGUCCAUUUGUCAUAUUCAUUAUAUUUUUUAAACUUAUUCUUAUAAUAUAUAGGUUUUCUUAUUUCUGUUGUUUUAGGUAUUAUAUUCGAUUUUUAUUCUAGAUGUACUUUUGAAAUAAUGUUAUCUUCUCCAUUACAUCUUGAACAUUGGUGAUCUGGAUAUUUAUAUCCAAUUAUUUUACAAUAUCUGGUCAGUAGUCCGUCUGAAAUAAAUUAAUACAUAUAUUUUCAUUUCAUGUUAAGGCUCUUCUUAAAAAUAACUUUUCUUUGUUAUCUGUUCUUUAUUUAU